GGAAGGUUAAGGGGAUCUGUUAGAGCAAUCGAAGCAGUGAACUUAAGCCCCAGUAAACGGCGGCCGUAACUAUAACGGUCCUAAGGUAGCGAAAUUCCUGGUCGGGUAAGUUCCGACCCGCACGAAAGGCGUAACGAUUUGGGCACUGUCUCAACAACAGACUCGGUGAAAUUGUAAUUCCGGUGAAGAUGCCGGAUACCGGCGACAGGACGGAAAGACCCCAUGGAGCUUUACUGUAGCUUGACAUUGGGUCUUGGUACUACAUGUACAGGAUAGGUGGGAGGCUUUGAAACCAGGACGCCAGUUUUGGCGGAGCCAUCCUUGGGAUACCACCCUUGUAGUACUGGGACUCUAACCAUAGGCCAUGAAUCUGGUCUUGGGACACUGUCAGGUGGGCAG
rnacentral:rRNA from 1 species